rnacentral:rRNA from 1 species
GUUAGCCUCGCACUUUCCAGGUCAGCGGCGGACGGGUGAGUAACGCGUGGGCAACCUACCCAUAAGAGGGGGAUAACACCGGGAAACUGGUGCUAAUACCGCAUAAGCUAACGGGACCGCAUGGUUCUGUUAGGAAAGGUGGCCUCUGCGAGAGCAAGCUACCGCUUAUGGAUGGGCCCGCGUCCGAUUAGCUAGUUGGUAGGGUAACGGCCUACCAAGGCGACGAUCGGUAGCCGGCCUGAGAGGGUGUACGGCCACACUGGGACUGAGACACGGCCCAGACUCCUACGGGAGGCAGCAGUGGGGAAUAUUGCGCAAUGGGGGAAACCCUGACGCAGCGACGCCGCGUGAGCGAAGAAGGCCUUUGGGUUGUAAAGCUCUGUUCUAAGGGACGAAGUCCCUAACUGCGAAUAGUGGUUAGGGGUGACGGUACCUUAGGAGAAAGCCCCGGCUAACUACGUGCCAGCAGCCGCGGUAAGACGUAGGGGGCGAGCGUUGUCCGGAAUUACUGGGCGUAAAGCGCGUGUAGGCGGGUAUCUAAGUCAGGUGUGAAAUACCGGGGCUCAACCCCGGGGCUGCACCUGAAACUGGGUAUCUUGA